rnacentral:rRNA from 1 species
GCCAGACUCCUACGGGAGGCAGCAGUGGGGGAUAUUGCACAAUGGGGGGAACCCUGAUGCAGCGACGCCGCGUGGGUGAAGGAGCGUUUCGGCGCGUAAAGCCCUAUCGGCAGGGAAGAAGGAGGACGGUACCUGACUAAGAAGCCCCGGCUAACUACGUGCCAGCAGCCACGGUAAUACGUAGGGGGCAAGCGUUAUCCGGAUUUACUGGGUGUAAAGGGGGCGCAGACGGCAGCGCAAGCCAGGAGUGAAAGCCCGGGGCCCAACCCCGGGACUGCUCUUGGAACUGCGCGGCUGGAGUGCAGGAGGGGCAGGCGGAAUUCCUGGUGUAGCGGUGAAAUGCGUAGAUAUCAGGAGGAACACCGGUGGCGAAGGCGGCCUGCUGGACUGCGACUGACGUUGAGGCCCGAAAGCGUGGGGAGCAAACAGGAUUAGAUACCCGGGUAC